rnacentral:rRNA from 1 species
GACGAACGCUGGCGGCGUGCCUAACACAUGCAAGUCGGACGGAACUGUUUUGAAAGAUUUCUUCGGAAUGAAUUUGAUUUAGUUUAGUGGCGGACGGGUGAGUAACGCGUGAGUAACCUGCCUUCAAGAGGGGAAUAACAUUCUGAAAAGAAUGCUAAUACCGCAUGACAUAUCGGAACCACAUGGUUUUGAUAUCAAAGAUUUUAUCGCUUGAAGAUGGACUCGCGUCCGAUUAGUUAGUUGGUGAGGUAACGGCUCACCAAGACCGCGAUCGGUAGCCGGACUGAGAGGUUGAACGGCCACAUUGGGACUGAGACACGGCCCAGACUCCUACGGGAGGCAGCAGUGGGGGAUAUUGCGCAAUGGGGGCAACCCUGACGCAGCAACGCCGCGUGAAGGAUGAAGGUUUUCGGAUUGUAAACUUCUUUUAUUAAGGACGAAAAAUGACGGUACUUAAUGAAUAAGCUCCGGCUAACUACGUG